rnacentral:rRNA from 1 species
AACGAACGCUGGCGGCAUGCCUAACACAUGCAAGUCGAACGAGACCUUCGGGUCUAGUGGCGCACGGGUGCGUAACGCGUGGGAACCUGCCCUUAGGUUCGGAAUAACUCCCCGAAAGGGGUGCUAAUACCGGAUAAUGUCUUCGGACCAAAGAUUUAUCGCCUUUGGAUGGGCCCGCGUUGGAUUAGCUAGUUGGUAGGGUAAAAGCCUACCAAGGCGACGAUCCAUAGCUGGUCUGAGAGGAUGAUCAGCCACACUGGGACUGAGACACGGCCCAGACUCAUACGGGAGGCAGCAGUGGGGAAUAUUGGACAAUGGGCGAAAGCCUGAUCCAGCAAUGCCGCGUGAGUGAUGAAGGCCUUAGGGUUGUAAAGCUCUUUUACCCGGGAUGAUAAUGACAGUACCGGGAGAAUAAGCGCCGGCUAACUCCGUG